UGAGUGAAGAAGGCCUUAGGGUCGUAAAACUCUUUCGCCAGAGAUGAUAAUGACAGUAUCUGGUAAAGAAACCCCGGCUAAUUCCGUGCCAGCAGCCGCGGUAAUACGGAGGGGGUUAGCGUUGUUCGGAAUUACUGGGCGUAAAGCGCACGUAGGCGGACUGGAAAGUUGGGGGUGAAAUCCCGGGGCUCAACCUCGGAACUGCCUCCAAAACUAUCAGUCUAGAGUUCGAGAGAGGUGAGUGGAAUUCCAAGUGUAGAGGUGAAAUUGGUAGAUAUUUGGAGGAACACCAGUGGCGAAGGCGGCUCACUGGCUCGAUACUGACGUUGAGGUGCGAAAGUGUGGGGAGCAAACAGGAUUAGAUACCCUGGUAGUCCACACCGUAAACGAUGAAUGCCAGUCGUCGGCAAGUAUAUUUGUCGGUGACACACCUAACGGAUUAAGCA
rnacentral:rRNA from 2 species